AGUGAACGCUGGCGGUAGGCCUAACACAUGCAAGUCGAACGGCAGCACAGUAAGGGCUUGCUCUUACGGGUGGCGAGUGGCGGACGGGUGAGGAAUACAUCGGAAUCUACUUUUUCGUGGGGGAUAACGUAGGGAAACUUACGCUAAUACCGCAUACGACCUACGGGUGAAAGCAGGGGAUCUUCGGACCUUGCGCGAUUGAAUGAGCCGAUGUCGGAUUAGCUAGUUGGCGGGGUAAAGGCCCACCAAGGCGACGAUCCGUAGCUGGUCUGAGAGGAUGAUCAGCCACACUGGAACUGAGACACGGUCCAGACUCCUACGGGAGGCAGCAGUGGGGAAUAUUGGACAAUGGGCGCAAGCCUGAUCCAGCCAUACCGCGUGGGUGAAGAAGGCCUUCGGGUUGUAAAGCCCUUUUGUUGGGAAAGAAAAGCAGCAGGUUAAUACCCCGCUGUUCUGACGGUACCCAAAGAAUAAGCGCCGGCUAACUUCGUG
rnacentral:rRNA from 1 species